rnacentral:rRNA from 1 species
AGAGUUUGAUCCUGGCUCAGAUUGAACGCUGGCGGCAGGCCUAACACAUGCAAGUCGAGCGGUAGAGAGAAGCUUGCUUCUCUUGAGAGCGGCGGACGGGUGAGUAAUGCCUAGGAAUCUGCCUGGUAGUGGGGGAUAACGUUCGGAAACGGACGCUAAUACCGCAUACGUCCUACGGGAGAAAGCAGGGGACCUUCGGGCCUUGCGCUAUCAGAUGAGCCUAGGUCGGAUUAGCUAGUUGGUGAGGUAAUGGCUCACCAAGGCGACGAUCCGUAACUGGUCUGAGAGGAUGAUCAGUCGCACUGGAACUGAGACACGGUCCAGACUCCUACGGGAGGCAGCAGUGGGGAAUAUUGGACAAUGGGCGAAAGCCUGAUCCAGCCAUGCCGCGUGUGUGAAGAAGGUCUUCGGAUUGUAAAGCACUUUAAGUUGGGAGGAAGGGUUGUAGAUUAAUACUCUGCAAUUUUGACGUUACCGACAGAAUAAGCACCGGCUAACUCUGUGCCAGCAGCCGCGGUAAUACAGAGGGUGCAAGCGUUAAUCGGAAUUACUGGGCGUAAAGCGCGCGUAGGUGGUUUGUUAAGUUGGAUGUGAAAUCCCCGGGCUCAACCUGGGAACUGCAUUCAAAACUGACUGACUAGAGUAUGGUAGAGGGUGGUGGAAUUUCCUGUGUAGCGGUGAAAUGCGUAGAUAUAGGAAGGAACACCAGUGGCGAAGGCGACCACCUGGACUAAUACUGACACUGAGGUGCGAAAGCGUGGGGAGCAAACAGGAUUAGAUACCCUGGUAGUCC